rnacentral:rRNA from 1 species
GAUGAACGCUGGCGGCUUGCCAAAUACAUGCAAGUAGAGCGAACAGACGCUGAGCUUGCUCCUCUGCCGUUAGCGGCGGACGGGGGUGUAACAUGUGGAGAACCUACCUAUAGGAAUGGGAUAACUUCGGGAAACCGGAGCUAAUACCGGAUAAUAUACCGCACCGCAUGGUUCAAUAGUGAAAGACGGCUUUCCUGUCACUUAUAGAUGGAUCCGCGCCGCAUUAGCUAGUUGGUAAGGUAACGGCUUACCAAGGCAACGCGGGGUAGCCGACCUGAUAGGGUGAUCGGCCACGCUGGAACAGAGACCCGGUCCAGACUCCUAGGGGAGCCAGCAGUAGGGAAUCUUCCGCAAUGGGCGAAAUCUUGGCGGAGCGACGCCGCGUGAGUGGUAAAGAUCUUCGCAUUGGAAAACUCUGUUAUUAGGGAAGAACAAAUGUGUAAGUAGAUAUGCACGUCUUGACGGUACCUGAACAGAACGCCACGGCUAACCCCGUG